rnacentral:rRNA from 1 species
GAUGAACGCUGGCGGCGCGCCUAACACAUGCAAGUCGAACGAUUAAAGCACCUUCGGGUGUGUAUAAAGUGGCGAACGGCUGAGUAACGCGUGGGCAACCUGCCCCUCUCAUUGGGAUAGCCACGGGAAACCGUGGAUAAUACCGAAUACUUCGGGACUUCCGCAUGGAAGACUCGAGAAAGCUCCGGCGGAGAGGGAUGGGCCCGCGGCCUGUUAGCUUGUUGGUGGGGUAAUGGCCUACCAAGGCAAUGAUGGGUAGCUGGGUUGAGAGACCGACCAGCCAGAUUGGGACUGAGACACGGCCCAGACUCCUACGGGAGGCAGCAGUGGGGAAUCUUGCACAAUGGGCGAAAGCCUGAUGCAGCGACGCCGCGUGCGGGAUGAAGGCCUUCGGGUUGUAAACCGCUUUCAGCAGGGACGAGGCGAAAGUGACGGUACCUGCAGAAGAAGCCCCGGCUAACUACGUG